rfam:Salmo salar isolate Sally breed double haploid chromosome ssa05, whole genome shotgun sequence.
CGUAUGGUGGCCAAGUGUUAAGGCGUUGGUCUGGUAAACCGAAGAUCAUGGGUUCAAAUCCCUUCUGUACCU